AUGCAGAGCUGUUGUUCUUACCCUAUCUUUCCACUGUGGUCCUUAAUUAGAGUGUCUCUGGCUGUGGGGAGAACCCUGGCACAUCCCCUGCAUGCCUACUCACUCUCAUCUUCUGGUGCUGCAGCGGCCCGACCACAGGUGUCGCUCCAUGGCACGGUUCCAUUGGAGCUGAUUAGCAAAGGUUGGAGUUUGAGGUGCAGACGACACGGAUGCUUGUUGCCCUGUUGGCACAACAUCCCAUUCAUGUGGCAUCAGGCCAGUGUGAGACACAUCUGCAUCUGCAGUGACCAGAUGUGGUGCCUUUGAAGACAUGAGAGCGUUGGUCCUUAAGAGUCUGUUCAGUCAUAUGUGACAGUUUUGGGCAUAAGUGAAAUUAUACUUUUUGUUUUACAAUGGGUAAAAGAACAUGUAUUACAGGUAUUCCCUAAUUAUGCAAGAUAUCUCACUUAAUCCCACUUGUAUGAUUUUUAAAACAUUUAUGAUGCAAAAAUUUGAUGUAUGCAAUGCAAAAACAUAGAAUUGUGUGUUUGCAAACUUGAUGAAGACCUAGAGGAAACAUUUAGCUCUGCCAUUGCCAACCAGGGUUGUAUUAGAGUAGGUGAACUUUUGGUUAUUGACUAAAUACCUUUUCUACUUCAUUAGACAAAUAAAUAAUUUAAAAAUCACACAAUGUGAUUUCCUUGAUUCUUAUUUUUUACAUUCCGUCUCUCACAGGUCAAGUAUGAUGAACAUUAUUCAUCUCUUCUUUUAAAUGGAACAAAAUUUCAUUAAAUUAAGCCAUGAUAUUUUAUAACAUUUUUUUUGUUAUGUAGCCAGAAAAAAAGAUAUCAUUCAACAUUUUUAAUUUUCUGUCUGAAAGGUUUUAUGUCCCUAAACUGGAAUCUUGGUAUAUGUUGGUGGAAGAAACCAUUAACAACCCCUUUUGUUGUCUAAUUUUUUUCAGACGUGUACAAAAUGUUUUAUCUGUUUUAGAUUCUACAAAAAUAUGUGGCAUUAAAUAGAUUCCAGAGAUGACAGCCUAAGAUGCCAGACUACUAAAAACUAAAUGUCUGCAAACAAACAAGCAAAAUCCAACAUAAAAAAUCUUAGAGUGCCGCAGAGGGCAAGCUUUAUUUGACACAGGCGGAAAAUAAAAGAUAACAAAAAUUUUUGAUUUUUAAAGUAAAGUAUAAACAAAUGUACAUGUGGCCAAAAAAAUUAAAGCAACAGACAAAUUAUAACCCACCUGAUAAAUAUUCACGUCAGCAACAAUAUUUUUUAUGUGAAAUCCUUAAGGAUCAGGACUUCUUUAAAGAUGUUUAUUUAUAGACAUGAGGCUUACUCAUAAAACAAGAGACAGUAUCUACGAUCAUACAAUUUUAAUAGGACAUGCUUAGGAGUUUGCACCAUUUUACACUGACUAUAACACAAAGGCUGCAUAAUAACUGACAUUUUCACUGAGUCGCCUGAGCAACCCAUCCUCUAAAGGCUUGGCAUCAGCACUCGAACUUAAAGAGGAACAUUAAAAACAAAAUAAAAACAUGUUUGGCAAUAAAAGCAUAAAUGAUGUUGUAUUAAUGUAUGUGGGAAACUCUGCUUGCAAGCUUAAACCUCUCUGUCCACAUAGCUAAUCGAGUGCGGGAGUUUGUUCUCUGCACGGGAUUGUUGCUAUGCAAUGCUGGGGGAAUUCCUAUGUUAACAUGACCUGGAAGCCUUUGUGCAAAUCAUCACUUUUAAGUUCCUUAGAGUAGUGGGGGGCAGUCCACAGCUCUGUCACAAAACAACAUCUAUGUCAGUAGGAUAUUUCCAACAUAACAUGGGAACAGACAUAAAUCCUUUUAGGCAUACAAAAAUAAUGCACAAAAAAGAGGAAUGGAAAAAUAGCUUUCUUUAGACAGGGCCAGCCUGUGCAGUUUGAUUAUGUUUUCUCCUUACGCACAGUUUUUUAUUUUAUUCCUCACGACAGCCCUUAAUUAUUCAUAUUUCGACUUUUAAAGCACAUUUUCAAUUUGGUACCUAAUAUUUGUUUUUAAAUCCUACUGCCUAACUAUUGUUUAAUACAGAAAUAAGUGUAAAAUCUUUAGCUCAAAGAGGCAAAUUCACAUUUAUUUCGAUAUUAUGUUUCAGGGCACAGCCUUAUCAUGGAGUCAUUCGGCAUACCAGACUACGCAGAAGAAGGUUGACGAAGGGACCAAGAGCCUUUUGUAGAACAGAGGGGAUGCUAGUUUAUCCAUGGAGUACUUGUAGCGGGACAUUAAUCACAAAGCUGCACCUUUAUUGCCACACAAGUCACCUGGCAUCACAAGCACUUAAAUCCUUAUUGCUUUAUGGUUAAAAGCGCAUACACAAAGACUGCACACAAAAAUAACCAUGAAGCCAAAGAUUUAAGAUAAAAACAGCAUCUGAUCUUUGCUCUGUAGACACUUUAGUAAGAACUACGUAUUGGAGGUCAAUAGUUUGAUACGUUUGUGCAAGAUAUACAAGUUUUCCUGGAAUAAUCAUAUUACUUUGGGAUUGCUACAUUAGGCAGAAGCAAAUGUAAUAAAUCCACAGACAUGCAGAUCUCAAAGUCCUCUAACUUUAGGGAAGAUUGAAAAAAAGGCAUUUUGUUCCUCAGCA
ensembl:lncRNA